rnacentral:lncRNA from 1 species
AUGCUGAGGUACUACAAUGAGGAGAGAUUUACAAAUGCCUGCACAUUUAAGAAAGGAAACAGAAGUUGCACAUGGAAGAAAAUUAAAGGCCAACCUGGAAGAAGAAAAGAAAUGUAUAAUGUGCUGGCCAAAAGAAAAGGAAAAUCAGAUUUAUUUAUAGACAUUGGUUGGUCUCCAGUUGUUUCCUUAAAGGUUGUUUGUGACAGAGCUUCAGCAAUGCCCUGUGCUGAAUGUGAUUCAUGUAAGGCAUAUGCAGUGGGUUCCGAGUUUGAAAGGAGUGCAAUCAACAAUCUCAAGAAUAAGAGUAUGUUUGCAGAGAUGGAUCCUUAA